UGCAGGGGACAUCAAGGGGGGCCGAGCCCUCCGCUCACCAUCAUGAAGAGCGCCAUGUAGACGGAGGUGGCGGUGUGGCCCGACGGGAAGGAGCGGCUCGAGUCCUGCACCCACCAGAAGCUCAUCUCCUUGUUGGUGCACUCGUAGUCCGCGAUGUAGCGCCUGCGACAGAGCCAGCCACCCGUCACGACCACGCCACUCAACGUUUUGUAUUUCCUUUAGUGUGUAUGACUGCAACAAAACAGCAUGUUGCAAACCAUUGGUGCAGGAACAAUUUGUUAUGAGGGAUGUAUGCUCAAACUGGCACACAGGGGGAGGGGCGAGACCCACCCGGAGGUGCAGUUGACGGCGGCGUCUGGCCGGCAGGUGUCGAGGAAGUGGGGCCGCGGCUCGCCCACCAGGAUCUUGGCCACGUCUAUGAGCAUGAGCAGCACCACCA